UCGGUGUAGAAACCCGUUAAAAAAAAAGAAAAGAAAAGAAAAGAGUGGUCGAGUAUCUUUGUGGUGGUCGAGUCGCGGGCGAUAAGGAUCGAUCGAGAAGUUUUGAAGUACGAAGUGGGCGAAGAAGUGAUCCUGAGUGAACUAUGUGUCGAAUAAGUUGCUCGACCAUAGUUAGAAGAUGUCUUAGAUUGAUGAGACGGACGUUUUGGAAGCAUAACAUUUUUGGAAGCACGACGGUUUAGAAGCUCGACGUUUUGGAAGAAUGACGUUUCUUCAGCACGAAAUUUUCUGCAAAACUUCGUAUCAGCGGAGUAUUAUUUUGAAGACAUUAGAAGCAUGACGGGACAUAAGCACGACGGGAAGCAAGUACGACGGGAUCGAAGCACGACGGGAAGACCCGAAAUUAGACUAAAACCCUAAUUUUGGUAUUAUGCAAGUCUUCGAUGAAGCCGAAGGAUCGG
rnacentral:lncRNA from 1 species